UGGCGAACGGGUGAGUAACACGUGGGUGAUCUGCCCUGCACUUCGGGAUAAGCUUGGGAAACUGGGUCUAAUACCAGAUAGGAGCCAUCUUUAGUGUGGUGGUUGGAAAGUUUUUUCGGUGUAGGAUGAGCUCGCGGCCUAUCAGCUUGUUGGUGGGGUAAUGGCCUACCAAGGCGGCGACGGGUAGCCGGCCUGAGAGGGUGUACGGCCACAUUGGGACUGAGAUACGGCCCAG
rnacentral:rRNA from 1 species